rnacentral:lncRNA from 1 species
UCCACCUCCCCGGACCCAGGUGUCUCAAAAAACAAACAAACAAAAACCACAAAACACUAAAUUCUGUAAUUCUGAUUUUAUGCAAAUACUGUGUAUCAAGGGUCCACAGAAUUACCUAAGCAAUGUUAUAUUUGUUUUCACCUUUUUUACACGGAUAAUUGGUCUUCCCAGCAAUAUUUUAAAUGACUGGAAUAUUAGCACUUCACUUACAUUUUUUUUAUCUGUUAGUCAUUUAUUGUUUUCCCCCUGUAGCUACAGCUCAUGCCCAUCUUUUUUUCCUCAUCUAGUCCUAAUUACAGUGCUAUAAAGGAUGAGAAAAACAGCUGAAAGCUGAAGGAUCUGCCCAACCUGGUCUUCCGCCUCUCCAUCCUGGCUUUUUUGCUGCAUCUGGGCUUUAUUCAUUGGCUGUCCAAUGUUUUUGAGAAACCUCUUCCACAAAGCAACUUUUCUAUCCUGAGAGAGUUUUGAGGUAAGUGGAACAAAGGCAAGUACCCUGCAUUAGUCCCCUUGGGGAUCCCCCAAACAGAUUAAAACCUAUGAACACAAUUUCUCAGGAACAAGAUUCCCUCCAUUCCCUUCUGAUAUAGUUUGGAUAUUUGUUCCCACCCAAAUCUCAUGCUGAAAUGUAAUCCCCAAUGUUGGAGUUGGGGCUGGGUGGGAGGUGUUUGGAUCUUGGGGGCAGAUUCCUCAUGAAUGGCUUGGACCAUCCCCUUGGUGAUGCUCUUGCUCUGGGUUCGCAUGUGAUCUGGUUGUUUGAAAGUGUGUGGCACCUGCCCUCACUCUCUCUCUUUCUCCUGUUCUCACCACGUGACGUGCAUGCUCCUGCUUCGCCUUCGGUGAUGAGUAAACAUUUCCUGAGGCCUCCCCAGAAGCAGAUCCUGGUGCCAUGCUUUCUGUACAGCCUGCAGAACUAUGAGCCAAUUAAACCUCUUUUCUUGUAAAUUACCCAGUCUCAGGUAUUUCUUCACAGCAGCGCAAGAAUGGCCUAACACACCUCCCAAACUGAGAACCUGCACUGAGAGCAUGGGCUGCUGUCUUCUAGACUGCUGCUGCACUGGGCAGGGGGAUUGGACAAGGGUAAGGUAAAACACGACAAACCUCUCCUACCAUGAUUCAGUGCCCAUUAUCCUUAUUAAGCAUUAGCUUGGUUGCUGUAAACCUUUGACUAUCUUCUAGAGUUCUAAUAAAGUUGUUUCUCAUGACUUUUGCCAGUUUUUUCAGUGUUUCUGCAAAGGAAGAGAGUUCCCUACCCUUAGAGUUUCUUACUCCACC